UACGAGGGGUGCAAGCAUUGUUCGGAAUUAUUGGGCGUAAAGGGCAGGUAGGUUGUCUUGUAAGUCUACUGUGAAAUCCCCCGGGCUUAACCCGGGACGUGCGGUGGAUACUGCAAGACUAGAGUGCUGGAGGGGUUCGUGGAAUACCCGGUGUAGCGGUGAAAUGCGUAGAUAUCGGGUGGAACACCAGAGGCGAAGGCGGCGAACUGGACAGCAACUGACACUAAACUGCGAAAGCGUGGGGAGCAAACAGG
rnacentral:rRNA from 1 species